GACCAGACUCCUACGGGAGGCAGCAGUGGGGAAUAUUGCACAAUGGGGGAAACCCUGAUGCAGCGACGCCGCGUGAGUGAAGAAGUAUUUCGGUAUGUAAAGCUCUAUCAGCAGGGAAGAAAAUGACGGUACCUGACUAAGAAGCCCCGGCUAACUACGUGCCAGCAGCCGCGGUAAUACGUAGGGGGCAAGCGUUAUCCGGAUUUACUGGGUGUAAAGGGAGUGUAGGUGGCAUAACAAGUCAGAAGUGGAAGCCCGGGGCUCAACCGCGGGACUGCUUUUGAAACUGUUAAGCUUGAGUGCAGGAGAGGUAAGCGGAAUUCCUAGUGUAGCGGUGAAAUGCGUAGAUAUUAGGAGGAACACCAGUGGCGAAGGCGACUUUCUGGACUGUACCUGACGCUGAGGCGCGAAAGCGUGGGUAGCGAACGGGAUUAGAUACCCCCGUAC
rnacentral:rRNA from 1 species